rnacentral:rRNA from 1 species
UACGUAGGGUGCAAGCGUUAAUCGGAAUUACUGGGCGUAAAGCGUGCGCAGGCGGUUAUGUAAGACAGUUGUGAAAUCCCCCGGGCUCAACCUGGGAAUGGCAUUUGUGACUGGAAGGCUAGAGUGUGUCAGAGGGGGGUAGAAUUCCACGUGUAGCAGUGAAAUGCGUAGAGAUGUGGAGGAAUACCGAUGGCGAAGGCAGCCCCCUGGGAUAACACUGACGCUCAUGCACGAAAGCGUGGGGAGCAAACAGG